AAACUGAUUCAAAAUCGUUUUCCUUAUAGUUCCUCGGAUCGAAGCGAAGCAUAACGGAGAGAUCUCUCUUGCCCUCAAAAAUGGCGGCGAAAGCGAUUGCGAGUAUAUCUCCAAAGGCAGGCUUAUUACUACUACCAUUUACAUCUCCAGCUUCUUCUUCUUGGUCGUUUUUUAGUAUUGUCGUUACCAAAACCUUCGAACCCGAAGUCAGAAGGAGGAGAGUCCAUGUCCUGAAAGUAGAUAUUUCCAUUAAAGGGGGAUCCAGAUUUUGACGGAUGUUUUUUUUUGGGUUUGAAAAGUGUUUGACUUUAUGUUUAGAUGUGAAAUCAAACUUGAAAGCUCCCAAGUGUUUGAAUUUCGAUGGUUCUGGUUUCAGACGUUUAUAUAAAAAAAGGUUUAUU